rnacentral:tRNA from 1 species
UAGCUCAGUGGUAGAGUGCGUGCUUAGCAUGCACGAGGUCCUGGGUUCGAUCCCCAG